rnacentral:rRNA from 1 species
GGUGCUGCAUGGCUGUCGUCAGCUCGUGUCGUGAGAUGUUGGGUUAAGUCCCGUAACGAGCGCAACCCUUGUCCUUAGUUACCAGCACGUUAUGGUGGGCACUCUAAGGAGACUGCCGGUGCAAACCGGAGGAAGGUGGGGAGUGACGUCAAGUCAUCAUGGCCCUUACGGCCUGGGCUACACACGUGCUACAAUGGUCGGUACAAAGGGUUGCCAAGCCGCGAGGUGGAGCUAAUCCCAUAAAACCGAUCGUAGUCCGGAUCGCAGUCUGCAACUCGACUGCGUGAAGUCGGAAUCGCUAGUAAUCGUGAAUCAGAAUGUCACGGUGAAUACGUUCCCGGGCCUU